CCUACGGGAGGCAGCAGUGAGGAAUAUUGGUCAAUGGGCGUAAGCCUGAACCAGCCAAGUCGCGUGAGGGAUGAAGGCCCUAUGGAUCGUAAACCCCUUUUAUAAGGGUAUAAAGUGUGGGACGUGUCCCUUUUUGCAUUUACCUUAUGAAUAAGGAUCGGCUAAUUCCGUGCCAGCAGCCGCGGUAAUACGGAGGGUCCGAGCGUUAUCCGGAUUUAUUGGGUUUAAAGGGAGCGUAGGUGGAUUGUUAAGUCAGUUGUGAAAGUUUGCGGCUCAACCGUAAAAUUGCAGUUGAAACUGGCAGUCUUGAGUACAGUAGAGGUGGGCAGAAUUCGUGGUGUAGCGGUGAAAUGCUUAGAUAUCACGAAGAACUCCGAUUGCGAAGGCAGCUCACCGGACUGCAACUGACACUGAUGCUCGAAAGUGUGGGUAUCAAACAGGAUUAGAUACCCCUGUAGUC
rnacentral:rRNA from 1 species